rnacentral:rRNA from 1 species
AAUGAAUUUGGUUCUGGAUCUUAUAGUUGUGUAUGUUGUGGUUUAUGCAUGCAAGCUGAUAGCGGCCCGGUAAGUAGUGCGAUCUCUUCGAGGCCUUGCAUUUAAUAAAGGUACAAGGGGCCCGUGUGUAUUGACUAUAUUUUAUUAUGAAUAACAAAUAUCAAUCCGCGUUACAUCUGCAGCAAUGAGUACUAAACACUAACUGGAAGGUUGAUUUGAUCAAGUAUAAAAGUAAGAGCCGGCUAAGUAUCGUGCCAGCAGCCGCGGUUACACGAACUUGCCCUCGCAAUGUAGUAAGAGGCUUAUUGGGGAAAUCUUUAGGAAUAUGUGGAGAAGAAGCAAGUUAGAGGUGUAGAAACCGACGCUGCUGUCCGAUAAAGUGUGGGGAUGAGAGACUCCGUAACCUAGGGAGUAGACCCGGAUUAGAGACCCGGUUAUUUUUGGGCGUUAAGAAUAAUGCCGGCGGAGUACGGAGGUGUCUCUGAAAAGCAAAGAACUUGGCGGUUAUUUAUUUCUGAUUGGGGGAGCUUGCUUGAAGAAAAGGAUAGUCCACCAUACACCUGACCUCUCCUUGCACAUCAGCUACUAUAUCAUCGUCUCUAAGCACUUAGUCAGAGUUUAAGACAGCCAAAAACCUAAUUAGGGUAGAAGUCAGAUCAAGAUGGUGCCAAUGGGGAGGGGAUAGUGGGCUACACAGGCAUUCUGGCCGCUAUAGUUUGAAGUGUUGGUUGCAAAACCAACAGGAAAUAGGACUCAAUAGUAAUUUGGCUUAGAUAGGCCUUGUGAAGUUAGUGCUAAAUUUCGUACACAUCGCCCGUCGCCUGCGGGAUUAAACCUGGAGUAAGUCGUAACAUAGUAGGCGGACUGGAAGGUGUGGCCUGGCGUAUG